rnacentral:rRNA from 1 species
GGCUACAUUCAAUAACAAUAAUGAACACGAAUAAUAUUUUGAAAGAGAUAAUUGAAGGAGGAUUUAGUAGUAAACAGKGAAUAGAGCGCCCUGSUGAAACCGGCCUGAAGCGCGCACACACCGCCSGUCACUCUCCCCAAGCUAAUACAAAACAAUUACUAAUAGAUAAUAACUGUAAAGGGGAGGCAAGUCGUAACAUGGUAAGUGUACCGGAAGGUGCGCUUGGAAGAACCCARARCAUAGCUAAAUAACGUAUAGCAUCUCCCUUACACUGASAAGAUAUCCGUGCAACCCGGAUUGCCCUGAAGCCCAACAGUAGCCAAACCCCUUAAACCAAACCAAUCCUUAUUUAUAACCCUUCAUGCACUUAACACGACAAACAAACCAUUUUACCYUCUUAGUAUGGGAGACCAGAAAAGAGAUACUGGCGCCAUAAAGAAAGUACCGCAAGGAAGCUGAAAGAGAAAUGAAUACUCA